rnacentral:misc_RNA from 1 species
GAUGAAGAACGUAGCGAAAUGCGAUAAGUAGUGUGAAUUGCAGAAUUCAGUGAAUCAUCGAAUCUUUGAACGCACAUUGCGCCCGCCAGUAUUCUGGCGGGCAUGCCUGUUCGAGCGUCAUUACAAACCUCAGGCCCCCGGGCCUGGCGUUGGGGAUCGGCGGAAGCCCCCUGCGGGCACAACGCCGUCCCCCAAAUACAGUGGCGGUCCCGCCGCAGCUUCCAUUGCGUAGUAGCUAACACCUCGCAACUGGAGAGCGGCGCGGCCACGCCGUAAAACACCCAACUUCUGAAUGUUGACCUCGAAUCAGGUAGGAAUACCCGCUGAACUUAAGCAUAUCAAUAAGCGGAGGA